rnacentral:rRNA from 1 species
GACGAACGCUGGCGGCGUGCCUAAUACAUGCAAGUUGAGCGCUGAAGGUUGGUACUUGUACCAACUGGAUGAGCAGCGAACGGGUGAGUAACGCGUGGGGAAUCUGCCUUUGAGCGGGGGACAACAUUUGGAAACGAAUGCUAAUACCGCAUAAAAACUUUAAACACAAGUUUUAAGUUUGAAAGAUGCAAUUGCAUCACUCAAAGAUGAUCCCGCGUUGUAUUAGCUAGUUGGUGAGGUAAAGGCUCACCAAGGCGAUGAUACAUAGCCGACCUGAGAGGGUGAUCGGCCACAUUGGGACUGAGACACGGCACAAACUCCUACGGGAGGCAGCAGUAGGGAAUCUUCGGCAAUGGGCGAAAGUCUGACCGAGCAACGCCGCGUGAGUGAAGAAGGUUUUCGGAUCGUAAAACUCUGUUGGUAGGGAAGAACGUUGGUGAGAGUGGAAAGCUCAUCAAGUGACGGUAACUACCCAGAAAGGGACGGCUAACUACGUG